CUAUUGGUGAUGCUCAGACUUCCACUGCUGUGUUUUUGAAGUGUGGCGCCAUUGCCCAGGUUUUGGAUAAAUAAGACUUUUGGGAGAAUGGGAGCAGCAAGUGAAAUUGAAUCCUGCAUCCUCUGGUUUGCAAUGGACAUUAAAGUUUAUUUGUUUAAAAGAAUAUUUACAGAUUACUGCUCUCCCCAUUCCCUUGACCAUCAACAUUUGAAUCCCUACCCUGAAGCUUUGUAUCAUAUCAGUUACUUUAAAAAAUGAGGAAACAUCACAACAUUCUAUCGUGCAGAUACCUGGGCUCAGGAGAAACUAGCAUGAAGUGGCACGCAAAUGCUGUUUGCCACACUCCAGGAGGACUUCAGACUGCGACAAGAGACAGUACCUUAGCAGCCAGCGGGGGAACAGGGAGCCUGUCCUGAGAGAGAAAGCAGGCUUACGUAGCCUGUCUGGAGAGAGAUGGCAGCUUCUACACUUCUAUUAUAGCCCCAACUUUAAGAGGGACCAUCCCCAGGUGCUGACAAGGUGCAAGCCAAGAGUGGGCCACAAAAGGAGAGCCCCAGCUGCAUCGUACCUGGAUGAGGAGCUGGAGGAAAGCUGUCCCUCAGGAAGCUGCCAAGGUCUUCAGCCUGCACAGGGAGCUGCUGCUGGGGUGGAGGAGGCGUUUGCACCAGCUCCACUGCAGGACACUCCGGCCUCUCCCCCUCGGAGGUCCCCACCAACAAAGCGCCAGGCUAAAGCACCUCCCGGCCUCAGCAGUGCCCCAAACCCUUCCCAGGCACCUGCCCCUCCGCUUCCCGACCCUGCCGGAGCAGCAGGCAGGGAGAGCUUCUGGGCCGCCCCAUCCCUGGCACCACCACCCAGCAGCCAGGCCCCGGCUGGCCUCCAGCGUGCUGCUCCGGCACCGCACCAGGCUGCAGCUCCCACGCCACAGCUGCCACCUUUGGCACCAGGGCUGGGUGUCAGCCCGGCGCAGCGACUGGGCUGUUCCCCUGGGCUGGCCUCUCUCCCUGCUGCAACCCCUGGCUGGCAGUGCCCGUGCUGGCAGCAGCCCUUGCCACGGCCAUGCCAACGCCACCCCACGGCUAAAGCCCAACAGCCCCACAUUGUCCCACCUGCUCCUGCACCGCCAACACUGCAGCUGCAGGUGAUGGGGCUGGACCCAGCGUGGCACAUACUAGUUAGGGUAGGGAUAGUCACUAGCGAGUGAAUAGAGCCUAAUGGCAUUAGAAAUAAAGAGAGUCUAAUAGAGUUAGUAAUAAA